rnacentral:rRNA from 1 species
ACUCCUACGGGAGGCAGCAGUGGGGAAUAUUGCACAAUGGGCGCAAGCCUGAUGCAGCCAUGCCGCGUGUGUGAAGAAGGCCUCGGUUGUAAAGCACUUUCAGUCGUGAGGAAGGUAGUGUAGUUAAUAGCUGCAUUAUUUGUACGUUAGCGACAGAAGAAGCACCGGCUAACUCCGUGCCAGCAGCCGCGGUAAUACGGAGGGGUGCGAGCGUUAAUCGGAAUUACUGGGGCGUAAAGCGCAUGCAGGUGGUUUGUUAAGUCAGAUGUGAAAGCCCGGGGCUCAACCUCGGAAUAGCAUUUGAAACUGGCAGACGUAGAGUACUGUAGAGGGGGUAGGAAUUUCAGGUGUAGCGGUGAAAUGCGUAGAGAU